GAAACAUUGUAAAAAUUAUUUGCUGGUUUUUAUUGUUCAUUGUUAAAAUGAGUACAGUAUUUAUGUAAGCAGAAUAUCUGAGAGCGGCUGAUAAGUUCGCGGCCUAAAGUACUUAUGGUGCAGACAGAAAGCUCAGAAUUCAUUGUCUCAGGGGCUGAAGUAAAAGCCAGCACGAAUCUACAUAUGUAAAUUCCCACUGGAACAUUUGCAUUUAAAAAUAAACAAACAAAAAAAUAAAUGCGAGUAGAAAAACAUGAAUUGAGCGACCGCGAGCGAGUUCAACGUGUCAACAAAGUGUCGUCAGCGGCAAUGAUGACAGCGAUGGAGGGGUGUCAACAGUCUAUUCGUCGUCGUCUAUUGACCUCACAUUAGUAUUGCCAGCAUUUGGUGAAUGCGGCGACAACAACAGAAACUAAAAUUAUACUAUAGAAAGUACACAUGUAGAAGAAGCGCAGCGUAGAAGGGUAUGAAAGUCACAUCGGCACUACAUGGGUAUGUGUAUGGCAAUAGAACAGUGGCACGCGGCGGAAGUCAGUUGAAGGCAGGAAGAUCGCUUAACUUCCUGGUUCACAUUUCAACACAUGUUGCGGCCAGCACAACACAUGUGCCCCAAACACUGCAAGCGAAAACAAAGUCGAUGAAAAGUAGACGAAAAUGUAUGUUUGUAGUGAAUGAGAACACUAUCUACAUAUGUACAACAACGUACAAUACAAGCAAGCGAGCAUCUAAAUGUGUAUAAAAACAACAGCGCAUUUUGUCGUGAGGUCAAAGUGUGCCACUGUCUACUUACCAGCAUUUGUGCUGACAAAGGCGAGUUCAAGCGAAAAUGUCCUACUGUGUUUUAAACAGUCCAUAGUGCAAAAGCGAAUAGAGAGAAACAAAAAAACAAUAAAAAACUAGUUACUCGUACGUUAGCACUCACCACAUAUUACUUACAUAAAUUAAACAAUUUAUUUAAAUGCAAAUGUCUGGCGCAGCAGUGGUUCCCUCACACUAACACAUGCAUUCAUACAUGCAUAUAUAUGUACGUACAUGCGUUCAUAUGGCUUUGUUUGCUCUACCAUUAAAUCGUCGUUGAAUGUCGCGUAUACGCACUGCUGUCCCCAACUGGUGGCCACACAUUUGACAUGCAUACAUAUAUUUUUGCAUAAAUACGCUCAAGCAUAUAACACAAAAAUCUAUAUAUGUAAAUUCCAGCAGAAAUUAAAAUUUUGUGGUUUGUUGUUGAAAAAUAGUGGAAAAUGCAAUGUGGCAUAGCGGAUUUGUGGUUGGAGAGAAAAGUUAGGGAGAAAAAAUAAGUAAAAAACAAAUAAUAAGGAAUAAAACGCUUGCGCGUCCACGUCUCUCUUACAUGGAGUACGUGUGUGUGUGUUUAAGUGUUCACAGCACUCAAAAUAAUCGUAUGCAAUGA